rnacentral:rRNA from 1 species
UACAGAGGUCCCGAGCGUUGUUCGGAUUCACUGGGCGUAAAGGGCGCGUAGGUGGUGAGGUAAGUCGGAUGUGAAAGCUCGGAGCUCAACUCCGAAAUGGCAUUGGAAACUACCUUGCUCGAGGGUUUGAGGGGGGACUGGAAUACUUGGUGUAGCAGUGAAAUGCGUAGAUAUCAAGUGGAACACCAGUGGCGAAGGCGAGUCCCUGGAAAACUCCUGACACUGAGGCACGAAAGCCAGGGGAGCAAACAGG